UACGGGGGGGGGGCGAGCGUUGUUCGGAAUUACUGGGCGUAAAGGGUUUGUAGGUGGCCUGCUAAGUCAGACGUGAAAUCCCUCAGCUUAACUGGGGAACUGCGUCUGAUACUGGCGGGCUUGAGGACAGGAGAGGAACGCGGAAUUCCAGGUGUAGCGGUGAAAUGCGUAGAUAUCUGGAGAACACCGGUGGCGAAGGCGGCGUUCUGGACUGUUUCUGACACUGAAAAACGAAAGCCAGGGGAGCAAACGGG
rnacentral:rRNA from 1 species